UUGUUUAAAUUUUAUGCUCAAUUAAGAGACUGUUUACAUUCUUAGACUUUAAGUGUUAAAAAUGGUGUAAAAAGGUAGUAGUGUGCACAGUGUGAGAAAAUGAAUUAGUCGGACCUCUAAAGAGAGCGUCCUUUCAUUUCAUUAAUGAUCCUUCCGCAGGUUCACCUACGGAAA
rnacentral:misc_RNA from 1 species